AAUAAAAAUAAUUAAAUUUAAAUAUAAAAAAAUCAAUAAUAAAGAUUUAUUCUUUCUUUCCCUUUUUCAUUUUUUUCUUUUGUUUCCAUCAUGUUUAAGUUUACAACUCAAGAUAAUAUUGCAUUUUUUGGAAUUAACAAUUACUUAAUAAUUAAUUAUUAAUUACUUCAGGUCUCUAUGGGCAAAUCAAGUGCUUUGUAAAUAAAGUUUAUUAUUAUAAUUAAUAUUAUUAUUAAAUAGGUGAAGCAGUCAGAAAUAAAAGAUGAAUUUUUUUCUCUUUUUUUGUUUUUGUUUGUUUUGGUCCAUAAUCUUCAUACAUCCCACUCAUCACUGCUGGUUCUAACUUCAGGAACUUCUUGAAGAUCAUCUGUCACUUUUAUCUGCAGAUGUUGUGACAUUUCAGUUUCUUCAGCGUUACUGAUGCUCGUUCCGGUUUGUGGCGUGGGCGUGUUUACCAGCAGAUACUCUUAAGCUGCUCAUCUGUCUUUUCCAAUCUUAAUAGCUGCCAUUGACUCGGAAAAUGUAAUUUAAAAAACUGUAAAAUAUUGAGUUUUUCACUAAGUUUGUGCUCCUCCAUCCCUCCCACUGUGAGGGGCUGAUCCACAGAUCACUGAGGUGGAGGGGGGGGUCAUCUGCUGUCCAAGUGAGGACUUAUGUAAUGAGGUGCAGUUUAGCAGGGCACAGCCCGGGUCUCUAAUGACAUCCCCUUUCAAAGCCGCACGGUUAUGUAUGGAUCCCCGUUCGAUCGGAAAUGUCAGAGGUCUGCCAUUAAUGAAAAGUGCUCCGGAUUUAAUGAAGGGUGGGGGGGCACGGUGGUGGUGACGCUGUGGAUCAACCACGUCCAUCCUGGUCCCUGUAAAGCAGCGCUUUCAUCAGGUGUGCUGUAGUACAGGAUGAAAUAAGAGCAUUUCCAGCCUACAGAUGCUCUGCUAAAUGCACUGAGCUGCCACCUACUCCUCUUCUGCUCACUGCCCCCCCAUCCUCUCAUGCUUUGUCGCUCAGCCAGUCAUACUGAAUAAUAAAUACCCUCAAACCCCAGCUGCCAAUUACACCGUGCAUAUUGGAAUUCGUGAACUCCAGAAACCAGAACAAACUUGAACUCCAAACUACCUACAAUAUUUAGCAGGAUUUCUCUGCAUUGAGUGAGAUCCUUCAGGAUGACGGCCUCUCCAGCUUGAGAGGAGAAACCAGCUAAAAGAGCCUCAAAGCGGGCAGACUCUGGAGGCAUCGCCGUUCAGCAUCCUGAGUUGAUGUGUCACCGCUGAGGAGGCUCUUUUUCUGAUGAGUAACCCAGCAGACCGGAUUCUCUCCUCUCGCUCUUAAAGUUCUGGAGCAUCUUCAAUAAGUUCCCUCUGUAAACUUCACACACAUGCUUUCCGGCCUGCACGCACGUGCACAACCCCCAAUUUAUUUAAACAAAACUAAAAAAAAAAAAAAAAA